rnacentral:lncRNA from 1 species
UAAAAUACAAUCUUCAGUAUAAAAAUACAAAAAAAUUUUUGUUAUGUAGCAUUAAAAAAUGGUUAUAUAUGUAUUUAGUACAAAAUAUAUAUUUUGAUUGAUAUACGUCACUUGACAAGGCCAAUCAGACUUAGGUACUUAUUUUAUCAAGACUUGUUAAGCUUAGUGCAUGUUUAUUCAUUCUCCUAUACUGAUCUCGAUAUUAGUUUGUAUGACUAACCACAGUUACAAUGGUUCUGUCAAAAUCAAUUUAAAACAUGUUUUCUCAAAAAACACAUUUAGACACUCAGUGCAAGAUUUAAUAAAAAUAUAAAUACCUUUUUGUCUCAAUACAAUUUUUAUGCAAUAGAGAAAAUAAAGAUAAAUGCUCAUAAGUAUUAAAAAAAUAUGUUCUAUAUUCCAUUUAUGAGGUAUGACUUUUAUUCAACGAAUCAUGCUUCAUUGAAAUGAUUUUUCAGUAUAUGAUUGAUAGAUUUUCAUAGUUUUGUAAAUUAUAACUACUAUAAAGCUUUAAUGGAUUUUUAUCUUUCGCUUACAAACAUCAAAGUAGAUAGAUGUUUUUUAUAUUAUUCUUCAAUUAUUGAAAUUGAAACUAAUUUUGUAGACGUCAACAAAAUUACUUGUUUAUAAAAAAAAUUAUUUUGCAGUUCAUUUUUGUAUGGUAAAAAAAGAUGAUAACGAGAUGUGUCAUUUAUAUAAGAUAAAUUUAUAUAAGAUUACUUUGGUGAGAUGGCAGACUUUGUCAGAAAAGGUAGUGUACAACUUGUAAAACGAAGCAGCGUCCAGAUAAAGCAUGCUGCGAAAGAAGUGAGAGCCAUUAGGAAACAGGCUGUCGUCAGACUUACGUAUGUUGCUGUCUUUUUUGGUUUCCUAACGUAAGAUUAACGUCAGACGUCAGAUGCUGCUGCAGAAAGGAAAUUAUUCUAAUACAUACAUUAAACUGAUGGAUUAAUUGUUUGGAUUUAUUUUUAAUUUAACUUUUUAUUAAAUUUCAUUAAUCAAAACAUUGUUAUUGAUAAUAAUAAUUAAUAAUCAAAUCAUCGGUAGUAUUAUCCAACGAACAUGCUAGUCGUUAACAUCUAUCAAAAUAUUUGAUAAUAACCCGUGUAAAAAAACUUCAUUCUGGAUGAGUUCCAAAUUUUGUUCCGCUGGUGAGACUGAGCAGAAUUGAUUUGGAAAUUUUUGGAAAAUAUAUUUUUUUUCCUAUUCAUAUUUAAGUGUUUCGAAUUGGACAAUUUUAAGUUGCAUACAUCGAAAGGGUCGUCGAUACUUUCACUACUUUUUGCUUUUGCAUUCAGAAAGUGCAACUUGUAAUUUGUAGAGCUUGCUUUCUUUAAAGGUGUCAAUUUUUCAACCAAAAUAAAACUAUUUUGGAAUGUUUGAUCACAAACGAAAAUUAUGUUUUAUUUAAUACAACAGUUUUAUUAAUAAUGCUAGUUUAUUUACAUUCAAAAUAUAGAGGAUAAUCCAUGUAAAAGAAGAACACUUGAACAAUGUGAAACAUUUAGACAAAUUUAUUCAUUUGUCAAAGUAUCAAUGAAAAUGAUAAUAAGAUAGAAAAAACAAAAAAAAGAUACUGUCCAGAAAAAAAAGCUGCAGAAAAAAAAUAAAAAUAUAGUUUGAAAUUUUAAUCCCUCAUGGUCCUUCAAAUGACUAAUUAUGAAAUAAUUUGCAUCACUCUGAGUACGUAACUUCAAUUUCAAUUAUACGAUUAUGUGUAUUCAUCCUUUUACUCCUGGAUUCUUCUAUUAUAUAUUAAAAAUUAAAAAAUACCAAUACAGUAUAUUUAAUGAAAAAAAUCUUAAUUAAUGGAAAAACAUUCUUAAAUAAUCCUAUUUCAAUCCAUUCCAAAUUUGGAACAAAACGGAAUUUUUUGAUAAUUUAGAUUUUCCUUAAAAAAUAUCAGUGCUCUCUGGUGGUCUUGGUGCGAACCGAAAGGUCCACACUACUAACUUCCCAGUGGAAUAGAUGAUUAGAUUGAGCUUCUUCCCAGUUGCUUGAUUCUGCAAAAAAAAUUCUAAAUUAAAAACUAUUGUAUUCGACUCUGAAGGUCUUGGAACGUAGAGAUAUCUCAAAAUUCAGGAUUCGUAAAAUCGGACCCAUUACGUGUUAAGGUUGGAUUCAAAUCAGAAAGCUGUCUGAUUCCUCUAUCUAAA